AACGCGUAUACAAUCUGCCUUGUACAGGAGUAUAGCCCAGGGAAACUUGGAUUAAUCCUCCAUAGCCUAUAUAAAUAGCAUUAUUAAUAUAGUAAAGAUUUAUCGGUACAAGAUGAGUAUGCGUCCUAUUAGUCUGUUGGUAAGGUAACGGCUUACCAAAACUACGAUAGGUAGGGGCCCUGAGAGGGGGAUCCCCCACACUGGUACUGAGACACGGACCAGACUCCUACGGGAGGCAGCAGUGAGGAAUAUUGGACAAUGGGUGAGAGCCUGAUCCAGCCAUGCCGCGUGCAGGAAGACGGCCCUAUGGGUUGUAAACUGCUUUUAUACGGGAAGAAACCCCCCAACGUGUUGGGGGCUGACGGUACCGUAAGAAUAAGGACCGGCUAACUCCGUGCCAGCAGCCGCGGUAAUACGGAGGGUCCGAGCGUUAUCCGGAAUCAUUGGGUUUAAAGGGUCCGUAGGCGGGCAGCUCAGUCAGUGGUGAAAGUUUGCGGCUUAACCGUAAAAUUGCCAUUGAUACUGGUUGUCUUGAAUUGGUGUGAAGUGGUUAGAAUGAGCAGUGUAGCGGUGAAAUGCAUAGAUAUUACUCAGAAUACCGAUU
rnacentral:rRNA from 1 species